rnacentral:rRNA from 1 species
AUACGUAGGUGGCAAGCGUUGUCCGGAGUUACUGGGUGUAAAGGGCGUGCAGCCGGGACGGCAAGUCAGAUGUGAAAUCCAUGGGCUUAACCCAUGAACUGCAUUUGAAACUGGCGUUCUUGAGUACCGGAGGGGCAAUCGGAAUUCCUAGUGUAGCGGUGAAAUGCGUAGAUAUUAGGAGGAACACCAGUGGCGAAGGCGGAUUGCUGGACGGCAAGUGACGGUGAGGCGCGAAAGCGUGGGGAGCAAACAGGAUUAGAUACCCUGGUAGUCCACGCUGUAAACGAUGAAUACUAGGUGUGGGGGGACUGACCCCCUCCGUGCCGCAGUUAACACAAGAAGUAUUCCUCCUGGGGAGUACGAUCGCAAGAUUGAAACUCAAAGGAAUUGACGGGG